rnacentral:rRNA from 1 species
UACGUAGGGGGCAAGCGUUGUCCGGAUUUAUUGGGCGUAAAGAGCUCGUAGGUGGUUCGGUAAGUCGGAUGUGAAAUCUCCAGGCUCAACCUGGAGGGGUCAUUCGAUACUGCCGUGACUAGAGGUCGGUAGGGGAGUGUGGAAUUCCUGGUGGAGCGGUGAAAUGCGCAGAUAUCAGGAGGAACACCCGUAGCGAAGGCGGCACUCUGGGCCGAUACUGACACUGGGGCGCGAAAGCGUGGGGAGCAAACAGG